CCAGAUCUUUCAAGACCUUGAGAUAUACGGUACUGGAGCUGAGGUUCAAAUACUGCAAAUAUGUCAAUGGCUCGCAAGUUUUACUACAGCCCAGGGGUAUCUCUGGAGUUAUUCAAAAUGAUGGUCAACUAUAAGAUAAGGAGCAUGGCCAGAAUUAUAUACAUCUCCUGACUUCCUAGCUGUACCCUGGGAGGAUGAGAUACACAGACUGCUUCAUGUGAAGUGUCCUUGGUUUUUGGUUUCCAGUUGGGUUUGACAAAUGGACGGCAAUGGUAGGAGAGCUGAGGGUAGGAGGAGAGUAAGGUCAGGGCACUUACUUUCCCUCAAACAUUCUCCUCUCCUCAGCCAGGCUAUAGCUUGGGUAACGAUUGUGUUUUUCUACCUAUCAUGACAGCACCUAUCUAGUUGGCCCUCUCGAACAACUAUAGGUCUCACUUGGUUCUAGUAACCAUUCCUCUUGUGCUUUCAGGCCUACCAGUAGUAACAGCUUGCUACUAUUGCUAUGCUUGGGUAUCACACUAUCCUUUAUGGAUUCUUUAACUCUGCCCAUAACUCUAUAAAUAGUCUUGCCAUUAAACUAUCCCUAGUUAAACGAUCUGAGUAUGCCAUCUUUCUCCUGCUGUGAUCCUGAUCGUUACACCAAUGAUCAUGAAAGGCAGGAUCAUGAAAAUGAACAGAAUCAGAUUCAGAUUAUUUUAAUGAGAAAAAUGGAACUGUGGAAGAGAGCCAUCUGGAAGAUGCUAUACUUCUGGAGAUAUGCAGCUGUCAGAGAUGAGAUACAGAAAUAGGAAGGGAGCAGAUAAGAAAUACCCCAGCUUCCUUUUGCCCUCCAAUCUUCUGCCAGUGCCACCCAUUGAAAGAAAUAAUGAAAAUCAGCCAUGAAGGGAGACUGGGAAACGUAGUCUUCAGGAGUUAGUCUUUCAAGGCCCAAAGUAGGCAGAGAAUGGCUCAGGUUUGGGAGCAGAGAAAAUCCAGCACAGCCCCUAGUCCCUCUGAGAGGGCAAGGGCUUUUUGCCUGUUUUGUCCACAGCUAUAUUCCCAACACCUAUAGUAAUUGUUGGCAUAUGUAGGUGCUCGGUAAAUAUUUGUUGAAGGCAAUGGAAGUAUAGCUAUGAAGUAUUAAGGGGAAAAUUUUGUAAGUCAAGAAUUCUAUACUUAGAGAAAUUGCCUUUCAAAUGAGAAGGUACAAAAAGAUUCUUAAAUAUGCAAGGGCUCAGAAAAUAUAGCAGUCAUGGAUUCUUCUUGAAAGAAACUAUUUAGGACAUUCAGGUUAGCCGAGAGGUGAGUUAAAAAUAAGAGAGCAAUAGUGAAGCAGUUGUGGUUUAAAAAGUAUAAUAUUUAGUCUCUCUUUCUAAGAAUAUAUCCUAAGGAAAAAACACUGACAUACAAACAAAUAUUUGUGGACAAAAAUGUUUAUGGCAGAGACUACUACCUGUCUCCCAAUAUCUCUUUUCUCUUUCCUCCAUAGCAAUAGACCUGCCAGGGGCAUGGGUGCCCAGCUAUACUACAGUUUCAAGCUUCACUUUCUUGUGUAUGGCUGUAUGAUUAAGAAAUGCAAGCAAAAGUGUGUAUCUCUCCUGGGCCAGAUCCCUUAAGAGAUAGGCGUACCUCCACUCUGCUGUAUUUCCUUUUCCUGUGAUUCUAAGCAUGGAUGUUCAAGUGACAUCACUUGCAGCAGGGCUGGUAGAAGAAAAGACAGAAAUGAUUUUUAGCUUUCUUGGAUUGGGUUGCAACAUACUACUGGAAGAGCAAUCAGUCAAGGGAAAGAAAGAAAGGGCAUCCAAAUAGGAAGAGAGGAAAUCAAACUAUCCCUGUUUGCAGAUAACAUGCCUAUACCUAGAAAACCCCAUAGUCUCAGCCCUAAAACUUCUUAAGCUGAUAAACAGCUUCAGCAAAGUCUCAGGAUGCAAAACCAAUGUGCAAAAAUCACUAACAUUCCUAUACACCAUCAACUGUCAAGCCAAGAGCCAAAUUAGGAAUGAACUCCCAUUCACAAUUGCCACAAAAAUAAUUAAAUACUUAGGAAUACAAGUAACCAGAGAGGUGAAAGAUCUCUACAGGAGAACUACAAAACACUGCCCCCCAAAAAAAUCAGAGAUGACACAAACAAAUGGAAAAACAGUCCAUGCUCAUGGAGAGGAAAUGUCAACAUUGUUAAAAUGGCCAUACCGCCCAAAGCAGUUUAUAGAUUCAAGGCUAUUCCUGUUAAACUACCACUGACGUUCUUCACAGAACUAGAAAAAACUAUUUUAAAAUUCAUACGGAACCCCAAAAACAGCCAGAACAGUCAAAGUGAUCCUAAGCAAGAAGAACAUAGCUGGAGGUAUCACACUACUUGACUUCAAACUAUAGUACAGGGCUAUAGUAACCAAAACAUCAUGGUUCUGGAAAAAAAAAAACACAUAGACAAAUGGAACAGAAUAGAGAACUCAGAAAUAAGACUACACACCUACAACCAUCUGAUCUUUGACAAACCUGAGAAAAACAAGCAAUGG
rnacentral:lncRNA from 1 species